rnacentral:lncRNA from 1 species
CAGAAAGCGUCUACCAUGCACCUAUGGACACUUCCAGCUCCUCCAGGUACAGCAGAAAAUCAGCAAGUAUUUAUGAAACCAAGCCUGAGUCAUCGGGACUAGAAACUUCUACCAACAGGAACCAAAAUCCCAGUCCCAACAGUACCAGGCAAAAACGAGAUCCUGAAGCUAAGGAGAAGGAUGUCACCAGGCGCUUUUCCCUUGCCUCCUCCCUUGGCACCACAGCUCCCACCCCCACUGGCCUCAGCAAAGAUGCUUUUGAGAAUUCCAUCCUGGCCCAGGGCAAAUGCAGUGGCAGGCCCACCACAAGAACGGUACCCAGAUCUGCCUCCCAGACAGGCUGGCCCAGCAGGCAGCUUCCUUCUCUGGAUACUUUUGAGGAUUUUGAAGUCAUUCCCUCCAGUACAGAUGAACUCUCCAACUCUUCAGACAUGGAAGAAGACAUCAGCACCCAUAAUGUGUCCGGCCUUUUCCGAGUAGAGGGCAGUUAUGAAACCUGCUCCCCAGAUUCUCUCACCCUGGAGGAUGGUGACUUGGUGCAGUUUGUACAGGAGGGAGAAAAUGGACAAUGGUUAGUAAAGAAAUUGCUUUCCGAGAAAAGUGACUGGGUACCCUCCAGUCUUCUUCAUCCUGCAGUUGUAGAUGGUGACCAGAUUCAUAAAAAUAAUAACAUAGGUAAGUACCAGGCAGGAAGCAGGAUGCAGUCCGUAAGGUGGUC